AUGGCUCGCAAGAAGGUGGCCCUCCAGUACAUCCGCAAUGACUCGACGCGGCUCAAUACCUUGAAGAAGCAUACCAAGAACAUGAUGAAGAAGGGCAGUGAGGUGGCCACCUUGUGCAACGCCAAGGCCUGCGUGCUGGUGUAUGGUGAGGGCACAACGGUGCCAGAGGUGUUCCCAUCUCAUGCCAAGGCAGUGGCUAUCCUGAAUCGGUUCAAGAGCAUACCAGAGGUGCCACAGCUAAAGAAGACGAUGGACCAGGAGACCAUUCUUAGCAAGCGCCUCGUACAGCUCCGACAUCAGGUAGAGAAGAUUAGGCGCGAGCGCGAGGACCGUGAGGCCAGGAUUCUCUUGCACAAGGCCAUGGUCAGCGGACACCUCCCAGGAAACAUCGAGGAGCUCACAACCAUGGCCUGGAAGUUGGAGUUAAUCCUCAAGAGUGUGGGGGAGCGCAUCACAGAAAGAAGUGGGCUGCCACCGGUCUACCAAGCCCAUGCACCAUAUGUCACUGGCGGCAUGGACAUGGGGUCUUCGAUGUAUAAGGCGUUGCAGCAGCAGCACGAGGGAUAG
rnacentral:rRNA from 1 species